ensembl:ncRNA Y42H9B.7 ncRNA
UUCUUUUUCUUCUAUUCAAUUCGACCGCCUUUACCUCCAAAUGGUAAACAAUGGGAAUGGUGUUAUCGGAGGAAAAGGGCGCCCGGUGUGCAUUUCAACACUCGCCUCUUUUUUCCUUUUCUUUCCAUCUCUCAUUCCUCCAUUUC